rnacentral:rRNA from 1 species
AUACGGAGGAUCCGAGCGUUAUCCGGAUUUAUUGGGUUUAAAGGGAGCGUAGGCGGACGCUUAAGUCAGUUGUGAAAGUUUGCGGCUCAACCGUAAAAUUGCAGUUGAUACUGGGUGUCUUGAGUACAGUAGAGGCAGGCGGGAUUCGUGGUGUAGCGGUGAAAUGCUUAGAUAUCACGAAGAACUCCGAUUGCGAAGGCAGCCUGCUGGACUGUAACUGACGCUGAUGCUCGAAAGUGUGGGUAUCAAACAGGAUUAGAUACCCUGGUAGUCCACACAGUAAACGAUGAAUACUCGCUGUUUGCGAUAUACAGUAAGCGGCCAAGCGAAAGCAUUAAGUAUUCCACCUGGGGAGUACGUCGGCAACGAUGAAACUCAAAUGAAUUGACGGGG